GUGAAUUUAGGCAAUAUACUAAAUAAGAGCUUCAUUUUCCUUAUGUGCAAAAUGGGUGGUGAGGAAUACAUAAGAAAAUUCCUGGAGCUUGGCACGUAAUAACCAAUAAUUUUAGUUAUUUUGAUGGUGAUCAGGGCUUUUCUGAUGAAGCAUAGACUCACUGAUGACUGUAGCAUUGUUUUCAGAAUUUCAUAAACAGCACACCAUUCAUUUGCACUCAAAUUGUCCAGGCAAAAUAUGGCCAUGAAAUGCUUGAAGGUUAUUUAACCAGAC
rnacentral:lncRNA from 1 species